ensembl:lncRNA
AGCCAGACGUGGGCUGAGAGUGAAGAGUAUAGGGGCCCUGCUCUGGUUCAGUGGAGGGAACAGUGCAAGGGUCCAGCCCUCAGCUGGAAAGAAUGGUCCCUCUCAAGGAGUGGGCACUGCUCUCCUUUGUUUGACCAUCCCGCAGAGAAAGCGUGAGGGAGCCACAGCCAGCUGGUGUGGUCUCAGGAAAGGCACAGACCUCACAGGCGGACAGACUGGGUUGAAACCUCAGUUCUGUGUUGUCUCGAGUGUGCCUUGGGAAGGAAUGGGGGCCAUGGUUCUGGUCACCGGCUAGUGCAAGGCGGUUUACACCUGGCUAGCUUAGAAGAAUGAGGCCGUGGGUACAGGAACUGCUCCAGGCGAGACUACCUCCCCAGGGAAACAGCACCAGAAAGAAGGUGUACAGUUUUCAUCAGAUUCUCAAAGUUGUCUUAAUCUUCAGCAUGUUAAGAAUCACUGUCUUGGAGAUAAGCUAUAUCGUCCACCUCAUUUCACCAGUCGAGAAACUGCCCACCGCCUCCCAAACCUGAAUGAUUAAGCAACUUGCCUGACAUUCUCCAUGAGUGUAAGGCAGAUCCCAGGCAUGGCCAAAAGUCGGUAGACUUUCAGGAACAUAGGAAUUAGAACCAUCCCCACCAACACCAGUAUCCUCUGGACCUUUCAGGCCAACGAUAGACACUAAAUUUAGUUUUUAAAAAUAUUGGUUUUCACCAUAACUUGUAAGUGGCUCACUGACAUUGUUGAGGAGGCAGGAUUGCAUCAGAGAAACACUGCAUUACUCGGGUUUACCAUCACCCACUUGGCCCUGAUUUAGGACAGAGGCUGCGUAUGUGCACGAAUAAACACUCCCUUCCUCCUGUACUGCAUCCUGCUCACGAGUUUGGUGCCUGUGGCAAGUGUUUGGUCUCCUUUAAUGAAGCCCUGGAGUUGGGGAGAUGCUGUCUCCUUUUGUUUCGUGGAGGAGUGCUGCCAUAUCUAGCCCUGAGAUCUGAAACCUCUACCACAGUUCUCGUCCAACACGGCUUUCAGGUGCGGGGCGUUUGCACAACAGUCUCUUGGACGAUAAUGGAGAAGAUAGAAUUUCACAGAUCAGAAGGAAGUGGCAUGAGUGGAAACCUGCAGAGGUUGAGUUUCCAUGCUCUUCCGCCCUCACCUCAUCUCCACCCCUCUCCGGGUCUGUCCGUGGGAUGCUUGUCCGCACACGUAACUACAAACUGCAAAGUCUGUAAGUAUUUGUUGUCAGCGAUCCACCAAUUAACAUGUAUUCUCCAUAUACAGUGUGUAAACUGCUUUGUCUUUAGCUAAGUGAGAGUAAAUAAAGUUGGAUUUAAAGGUUAAACUCUGUCAGCAGUUGCGUGCCCUUGAUUCUCUUUUCUGGCAAACCUGGGAAAAAUUGCCCAAUUCAUCCAUCUCGCUCUCCAAACAACGUGUUUAAUUAUCACUAACUCUAGGAGUUGAUGAAGUCCUUUCAUUCCAACACAUAAAUAUUUUUAUCAAUGGUUUUUCUAGUAAGACAGAAUUUUUACUUGUGUGAUUCGAUGACUUCUCACCCUUAGCCAAUGUCCCAACCACCCCUGUCAGGGUGACAGUUAAACAUGAUUUGCUUCUUGCUGUUUGAGUUGUCAUUUGGGGGACAUAGCACCUCUCUUCCUAGUUACUGUGUCUGGCAGAAGGAGUUU